GAUGAACGCUAGCUACAGGCUUAACACAUGCAAGUCGAGGGGAAACGAGGAGAGAGCUUGCUCUGUUAGUCGUCGACCGGAGCACGGGUGAGUAACGCGUAUCCAACCUGCCUCUGACGAAGGGAUAACCCGUCGAAAGUCGGACUAAUACCUUAUGCAGUAGUCGGAAGUCAUCUGAUGACGACGAAAGAUUUCAGCGGAGAGAGAUGGGGAUGCGUCUGAUUAGCUUGUUGGCGGGGUAACGGCCCACCAAGGCGACGAUCAGUAGGGGUUCUGAGAGGAAGGUCCCCCACAUUGGAACUGAGACACGGUCCAAACUCCUACGGGAGGCAGCAGUGAGGAAUAUUGGUCAAUGGGCGUAAGCCUGAACCAGCCAAGUAGCGUGCAGGAUGACGGCCCUAUGGGUUGUAAACUGCUUUUAUGCGGGGAUAAAGUGAGGGACGUGUCCUUCAUUGCAGGUACCGCAUGAAUAAGAACCGGCUAAUUCCGUG
rnacentral:rRNA from 1 species